rnacentral:rRNA from 2 species
GCCGUGGGCCGGCCGGGGCCCUAUACAUGCAGUCGAACGAGUUCUGAUUAUUGAAAGGUGCUUGCAUCUUGAUUUAGAUUUUGAACGAGUGGCGGACGGGUGAGUAACACGUGGGUAACCUGCCCUUAAGUGGGGGAUAACAUUUGGAAACAGAUGCUAAUACCGCAUAAAUCCAAGAACCGCAUGGUUCUUGGCUGAAAGAUGGCGUAAGCUAUCGCUUUUGGAUGGACCCGCGGCGUAUUAGCUAGUUGGUGAGGUAACGGCUCACCAAGGCAAUGAUACGUAGCCGAACUGAGAGGUUGAUCGGCCACAUUGGGACUGAGACACGGCCCAAACUCCUACGGGAGGCAGCAGUAGGGAAUCUUCCACAAUGGACGCAAGUCUGAUGGAGCAACGCCGCGUGAGUGAAGAAGGCUUUCGGGUCGUAAAACUCUGUUGUUGGAGAAGAAUGGUCGGCAGAGUAACUGUUGUCGGCGUGACGGUAUCCAACCAGAAAGCCACGGCUAACUACGUGCCAGCAGCCGCGGUAAUACGUAGGUGGCAAGCGUUAUCCGGAUUUAUUGGGCGUAAAGCGAGCGCAGGCGGUUUUUUAAGUCUGAUGUGAAAGCCCUCGGCUUAACCGAGGAAGUGCAUCGGAAACUGGGAAACUUGAGUGCAGAAGAGGACAGUGGAACUCCAUGUGUAGCGGUGAAAUGCGUAGAUAUAUGGAAGAACACCAGUGGCGAAGGCGGCUGUCUGGUCUGUAACUGACGCUGAGGCUCGAAAGCAUGGGUAGCGAACAGGAUUAGAUACCCUGGUAGUCCAUGCCGUAAACGAUGAAUGCUAGGUGUUGGAGGGUUUCCGCCCUUCAGUGCCGCAGCUAACGCAUUAAGCAUUCCGCCUGGGGAGUACGACCGCAAGGUUGAAACUCAAAGGAAUUGACGGGGGCCCGCACAAGCGGUGGAGCAUGUGGUUUAAUUCGAAGCAACGCGAAGAACCUUACCAGGUCUUGACAUCUUUUGAUCACCUGAGAGAUCAGGUUUCCCCUUCGGGGGCAAAAUGACAGGUGGUGCAUGGUUGUCGUCAGCUCGUGUCGUGAGAUGUUGGGUUAAGUCCCGCAACGAGCGCAACCCUUAUGACUAGUUGCCAGCAUUUAGUUGGGCACUCUAGUAAGACUGCCGGUGACAAACCGGAGGAAGGUGGGGAUGACGUCAAAUCAUCAUGCCCCUUAUGACCUGGGCUACACACGUGCUACAAUGGAUGGUACAACGAGUUGCGAGACCGCGAGGUCAAGCUAAUCUCUUAAAGCCAUUCUCAGUUCGGACUGUAGGCUGCAACUCGCCUACACGAAGUCGGAAUCGCUAGUAAUCGCGGAUCAGCACGCCGCGGUGAAUACGUUCCCGGGCCUUGUACACACCGCCCGUCACACCAUGAGAGUUUGUAACACCCGAAGCCGGUGGCGUAACCCUUUUAGGGAGCGAGCCGUCUAAGGUGACCAAGGAUG